rnacentral:rRNA from 1 species
UACGUAGGAGGCAAGCGUUGUCCGGAAUCAUUGGGCGUAAAGCGCGCGUAGGCGGCCCGGUAAGUCCGCUCUGAAAGUCCAGGGCUCAACCCUGGAAAGCGGGUGGAUACUGCCGGGCUAGAAUCCGGAAGAGGCGAGUGGAAUUCCUGGUGUAGCGGUGGAAUGCGCAGAUAUCAGGAGGAACACCAAUAGCGAAGGCAGCUCGCUGGGACGGUAUUGACGCUAAGGCGCGAAAGCGUGGGGAGCAAACAGG